rnacentral:rRNA from 1 species
UUCGUAGGGUGCAAGCGUUAAUCGGAAUUACUGGGCGUAAAGCGUGCGCAGGCGGUGAUGUAAGACAGUUGUGAAAUCCCCGGGCUCAACCUGGGAACUGCAUCUGUGACUGCAUCGCUGGAGUACGGUAGAGGGGGAUGGAAUUCCGCGUGUAGCAGUGAAAUGCGUAGAUAUGCGGAGGAACACCGAUGGCGAAGGCAAUCCCCUGGACCUGUACUGACGCUCAUGCACGAAAGCGUGGGGAGCAAACAGG